UGCUCGAGUCCCUUCUUUUCUCUUCUGACAUGCCAGCUAUCUUGAGAGAAGAGAUUAAGCAUUGUUCUGAUGAGUGCUGCAGCAGCAGCAGCAGCAGCAGCAGCAGCAGCAGCAGCAGCUUUAUAAUUUAAGGGCUACAUAAAAUUUAUGGAGCACUGAGAAGAACUUAAAUCAAUUUUAUGAUUUUCAUAAAUUAUUUCAGGCAGAUGCUUUGUGCAAAAAGCCAGUGAUGUUUGAGCUGUUUAUCCAAUGGACAACAACAUUAAAAAUAGGGGUUUUCAAAGGCACCUGUGGGAAUUAUGUAUCUGAGUUGGAUGGGAGUUAGAAGACUUGUUCUUUGAGCCACUUAAUAUUCCAGUGUAAAUUUUUAAUCAUUCCAAAUUGCUUAAAAUACUUGGUAAAAAUCAAAAUUAGAUGAGGGUCAAAUUUAGAGCAAUUUUGAAAUUUUAUUUAAAUGCUUCACAUGCUUUUAAACAGUGGAUGGAUAGCCUGUAAUUCUACUUCAAGUAAGAAAAUAGUCUGGCACUUGUAGAGUUAAGAUUUUUCUUAUGACAGUGUAUUUUUUGGGUUGUUGUUUAUGCCCCAGUAACUGAGGAACCUUAUUCUGUCUGCUUCAUACUGUAUCUGCAAAUUACUCCAGCUGCUAAAGAGAAUGAUCUGCCUGCAGAGCAGAAAGAGAAACUAUAGCUGGUUUCCUUAUAGCACAUUUUGAGAUUAUAUAAUAGGACAAAUAUAAUUCCAUACAUUACAGAUAUGAAUAGAGAUUGAACUUCCCUUCUGGGCAAGUAACUAAAGAGCUGCUGAUAGGAUGCAAUUUCCAUUUCAUCCUAAUUUUGGGUGUUACUGAUGAUUUAAAGAGCUUUCCUCUCCCUGGGCUUCAUGGUCAUCAAGACACAGCAUCAAGGUCAGAAAACAGAGAAAUGCAGAGAGCAGCAAAGCGAACCCCCCAUUUUAAAGCAAGGAAUUGGAGUUCUGAAGUGCAGCCAUCCAAGCUGGGUGAACAGCAA
rnacentral:lncRNA from 1 species